GACAGAGGGUGCAAACGUUGUUCGGAAUUACUGGGCGUAAAGCGCGUGUAGGCGGCUAAGUAAGUCGGGCGUGAAAUCCCACGGCUCAACCGUGGAAGUGCACUCGAAACUGCAUAGCUAGAGUCCUGGAGAGGAAGGUGGAAUGCUUGGUGUAGAGGUGAAAUUCGUAGAUAUCAAGCGGAACACCGGUGGCGAAGGCGGCGAUCUGGGUAGAUACUGACGCUGAGGUGCGAAAGCGUGGGGAGCAAACAGG
rnacentral:rRNA from 1 species